rnacentral:rRNA from 1 species
GACGAACGCUGGCGGCGUGCUUAACACAUGCAAGUCGAACGGAAAGGCCCUGCUGUUGUGGGGUGCUCGAGUGGCGAACGGGUGAGUAACACGUGAGUAACCUGCCCUUGACUUUGGGAUAACGUCAGGAAACUGGGGCUAAUAACGGAUAGGAGCGCCUGCUGCAUGGUGGGGGUUGGAAAGUUUCGGCGGUUGGGGAUGGACUCGCGGCUUAGCAGCUUGUUGGUGGGGUAGUGGCUUACCAAGGCUUUGACGGGUAGCCGGCCUGAGAGGGUGACCGGCCCCAUUGGCCCUGAGAUGCGGCCCAGACUCCUACGGGAGGAAUCAGUGGAGAACAUUGCAAACUGGGCGGAGGCCUGAUACAGCAACGCCGCGUCCGAGAUGACGGCCUUCGGGUUAUAACCCGCUUUCGCCUGUGACGAACCGUGAGUGACGGUAAUGUGUAAAGAAGCACCGGCUAACUACGUG